GGGGCAGUAGCUCAGCCUGGUAGAGCAAACGGCUGAAGACCGUUGUGUCGCGAGUUCAAAUCUCGCCUGCCCCA
rnacentral:tRNA from 1 species